AUCAGAUCCCUGCGAGCAUUUUCAAAAUUCAAUUAUUUUAGAGAACAUAGAUUAUGCAAUACUGACAUAAUCUUAAAUACCACUAAGCAGCUGGGACACAUUUUUGUUGACCAUACUCGCAGAUAAAAUAAGUAGAUCGUGUGGACAGCUCCAGCUCAUUUUACUUAAGUCUGUACGUACAAGGGGUAUGCAAAAAUAUUUUUUUCUUCUCGCGCACCGAUUAUUUUGCUGUAUAAGCAAGAGAACCCACCACGUUAGUGUAACGUAUCUUGUACAUCACACUAAUAUGUGCUUUAAUUUACCAAGUGAGAUGAGUUACUUUUAUGGCUCAUUCAGUCAUAUCACACUGCAAGCUGCAUUCAUCAAUCUUCAAUUGGAUUUUGCAAAUGUUUAAUGAAACAUGUUUCCCUUUUAUGCAGAUAUGCAAUGGCAAGCCCUUCCGUGUGUUCCAAAGACAAUGCCUACGCCUAGCCACAGCAGCUCCCUCAUACAGACUCCGCAAGCCAAGAGGCUGUGGAAGCAAAUGCAGGCAGCCAGCACACCUCGAACGGCCACCUUGACUGCGGGUGUGUCACCCUAGUCGCCAAGGAAACAUUUGAGGGAAAGCGACAGGCAAUGUGAACAGCCACUUCUCCAUGUAAACGAUACUCUUUCUCACGGAUGACUCCUACGCCUCUCCACGCCAGUAUACUUGUGCACAACGAUGCCGCGGAGGCACGUGCAGGUCAGAGGCAAGAAGUAGUGGUACUGGUGUCGACAGUCACCCAAUUUCUUUUUCUUACACUGAGGCAGCCAGCACACCUCGAACAGCCACCUUCACUGCGGGUGUGUCAGUAGAUUCCUGUUGUACAUAUGCUCAUAAUAAACUUCAGUAAACUUGAACUUGAUAAUAAACUUGAAGGUAAAUGGGA